CAUUGCUGGAACGCGCCCUAGGCGCACCCAGAAACCCUUUGUGAACUUAUACCUUACUGUUGCCUCGGCGCAUGCUGGCCCCCUCGGGGUCCCCUGGAGACAGGGAGCAGGCACGCCGGCGGCCAAGUUAACUCUUGUUUUUACACUGAAACUCUGAGAAAAAAACACAAAUGAAUCAAAACUUUCAACAACGGAUCUCUUGGUUCUGGCAUCGAUGAAGAACGCAGCGAAAUGCGAUAAGUAAUGUGAAUUGCAGAAUUCAGUGAAUCAUCGAAUCUUUGAACGCACAUUGCGCCCUCUGGUAUUCCGGAGGGCAUGCCUGUUCGAGCGUCAUUUCAACCCUCAAGCAUUGCUUGGUGUUGGGGCACUGCCUGUAAAAGGGCAGGCCCUGAAAUCUAGUGGCGAGCUCGCUAGGACCCCGAGCGUAGUAGUUAAACCCUCGCUUUGGAAGGCCCUGGCGGUGCCCUGCCGUUAAACCCCCAACUUUUGAAAAUUUGACCUCGGAUCAG
rnacentral:misc_RNA from 1 species